rnacentral:rRNA from 1 species
UACGAAGGGGGCUAGCGUUGUUCGGAAUUACUGGGCGUAAGGCGUGCGCAGGCGGCUUCUCAAGUCAGGGGUGAAAGCCCAGAGCUUAACUCUGGAAUUGCCUUUGAGACUGAGAGGCUUGAGUACGGGAGAGGUGAGUGGAAUUCCCAGUGUAGAGGUGAAAUUCGUAGAUAUUGGGAAGAACACCGGUGGCGAAGGCGGCUCACUGGCCCGUAACUGACGCUCAUGCACGACAGCGUGGGGAUCAAACAGG